AUGGCUCAGGAUGAACGCUAGCUACAGGCUUAACACAUGCAAGUCGUGGGGCAUCACGGCAGCGGUUACCGUUGCUGGUGGCGACCGGCGCACGGGUGAGUAACGCGUAUCCAACCUACCCCUCAGUAGGGAAUAGCCCGGCGAAAGUCGGAUUAAUGCCCUAUGUUAUUCGUUGAGGACAUCUGAAGUGAAUCAAAGACUUGUCGCUGAGGGAUGGGGGAUGCGUCUGAUUAGGUAGUCGGCGGGGUAACGGCCCACCGAGCCUUCGAUCAGUAGGGGUUCUGAGAGGAAGGUCCCCCACAUUGGUACUGAGACACGGACCAAACUCCUACGGGAGGCAGCAGUGAGGAAUAUUGGUCAAUGGCCGAGAGGCUGAACCAGCCAAGUAGCGUGCAGGAAGACGGCCCUAUGGGUCGUAAACUGCUUUUAUGCGGGGAUAAAGUUGGGCACGCGUGCCCAUUUGCAGGUACCGCAUGAAUAAGGACCGGCUAAUUCCGUGCCAGCCGCCGC
rnacentral:rRNA from 1 species